GAAUCAUCCCAAAACUCUUCCGCAUGUAAAUCUAAAGUUCAUGCAUCAUAAUGGCAGCAGAUGUUCACACACUGUGUCUGACAGGAGGUGGGCUUGUUGAAAGAGAGGCCUAACCCAGAAAGACACAGGACAUUAGAUCACAUGCUGCCACCUCUUUGGCAGCCUGCUCUUCCACUCUCUCAUUUAUAAUAGGAAUAUUUAGGAUGACUCUUAAGCUAUUUGCAUCUUUUAUCAGUAACCUGCACCACAGAUGUUUAAUAUUCACUAUACCCUAGAGAGUACAACUGUGUUUGUAGUUGUUUUAGUUUCUGAACAUCCAAGACACGGCCACCCUAUCUGUUUGAAGUGAGCUAGCCUUUAAGUGCAUCCAAGUAUUUCUUCCUCUAAGUCUGUGGUAUGAUUAUCAUCUCGGAUGAAUCAUGUGGGUUGGAGAGGUUUUGUUGAAUCUAAAGGAAACUUUACCAACCUCCACAAACCAAGCCAUCACAACACAAACUUGUAACAUAUAAAUUGGAAAGACCUGCCCCUGCUGAGGGGGAAAAAAUCAAUAGCUGGGAAAAAAUAUGAGAAAAAAGGAAAGAAUUUGUGUUUUUGGCUCCCAGUCAGGUCAGAGCCGUCUCUCUCACUCACUCCCUUCCUUUUCACUCUCGCCUGUUCCCUUUCCUUUCUUUCUCUUAACUCUCUCUCUCCCACUCCCACUUCUCUCUCACAUCUGGAGGGUAUCUGGUGUGGCUGUGUGACUCCUUGCCUGCUAUGGGACAGCCUGUGUUUGGACUGGACGUCAGACUUCAGUGCAUUUCAGCAAACGCUGUUCGUUGGUGAGGACCAAAGCUUCAGACACAGCAGAGAGGACGAGCAGAGAGCCGACUGUCUUUUGCUGUUGGCCUGGAGAGCUCAACAGCAGACAUGGCCUUUCCCAAACAUUCCAUCCUGUGGACCCUGAGUGUGCUGCUCUUGGCCUGGGUUUUGGUGCGCUGCCAGGCCCCUCUUGAACCGGUGGAAGAGGAGGAGGGAGAGCCAAUGAAGGAGACACCAACAGUGGUGACAAAAUCUGAGCCAGUCCAGUGCCCGUUGGACUGUAGUUGCACGGCAGAGGGGGCAGUGGACUGUGCCGGAGUCGACCUCACAGAGUUCCCCGCGGGCUUGUCCGAUAAAACUCGCCAGCUCUCUCUACAGAACAACAAAAUUGAGGAGAUAACAGUGGAGCACAUUUCCCAUCUGCAUCAGCUUGAGACUCUCAACCUUCAGAACAACUGGCUCACCACAGAUGGUAAACACAGUAACACAAUCUAAACACCUUGCAGGAAUCUGGCAUCAAGCAGGGGAGCAGAUUAUAGACAAGUCUGAAGGGUUGGUUUAUGUGGGACAAACAGGACUGCUGCAUUCCUGUUUCUCAUGCUUAGCUGUGGGUCUGUGUGCUGAUUUGCUCUGUAGUUGAAGCCUCAAACUAUAAGGUCAAUUUAGGGCAAUUUGAGUUUGAUAGGUAGUUAUUCUGCCACUGGGCUGCAGU